rnacentral:tRNA from 1 species
GGGGUUGUAGCUCACUGGUAGAGCACUUGCCUAGCAUGUAUGGGGCCCUGGGUUCGGUUCUCAGCACCA